rnacentral:rRNA from 1 species
UACGGAAGGUCCGGGCGUUAUCCGGAUUUAUUGGGUUUAAAGGGAGCGUAGGCCGGAGAUUAAGCGUGUUGUGAAAUGUAGACGCUCAACGUCUGCACUGCAGCGCGAACUGGUUUCCUUGAGUACGUAGGAAGUUGGCGGAAUUCGUGGUGUAGCGGUGAAAUGCGUAGAUAUUUGGAAGAACACCGAUGGCGAAGGCAGCUGACUGUAUCGUAACUGACGCUGAAGCUCGAAAGUGUGGGUAUCGAACAGG